UACAGAGGUCUCAAGCGUUGUUCGGAUUCAUUGGGCGUAAAGGGUGCGUAGGCGGCGCGGUAAGUCGGGGUGUGAAAUCUCGGAGCUUAACUCCGAAACUGCAUUCGAUACUGCCGUGCUUGAGGACUGGAGAGGAGACUGGAAUUUACGGUGUAGCGGUGAAAUGCGUAGAUAUCGUAAGGAAGACCAGUGGCGAAAGGCGGGUCUCUGGACAGUUCCUGACGCUGAGGCACGAAGGCCAGGGGAGCAAACGGGG
rnacentral:rRNA from 1 species